rnacentral:rRNA from 1 species
UUAAGCGACUAAGCGUACACGGUGGAUGCCCUGGCAGUCAGAGGCGAUGAAGGACGUGCUAAUCUGCGAUAAGCGUCGGUGAGGUGAUAUGAACCGUUAUAACCNNGGCGAUUUCCGAAUGGGGAAACCCAGUGUGUUUCGACACNACUAUCAUUAACUGNAAUCCAUAGGUUAAUGAGGCGAACCGGGGGAACUGAAACAUCUAAGUACCCCGAGGAAAAGAAAUCAACCGAGAUUCCCCCAGUAGCGGCGAGCGAACGGGGAGGAGCCCAGAGCCUGAAUCAGUGUGUGUGUUAGUGGAAGCGUCUGGAAAGGCGCGCGAUACAGGGUGACAGCCCCGUACACAAAAAUGCACAUACUGUNNGAGCUCGAUGAGUAGGGCGGGACACGUGGUAUCCUGUCUGAAUAUGGGGGGACCAUCCUCCAAGGCUAAAUACUCCUGACUGACCGAUAGUGAACCAGUACCGUGAGGGAAAGGCGAAAAGAACCCCGGCGAGGGGAGUGAAAAAGAACCUGAAACCGUGUACGUACAAGCAGUGGGAGCCUCUUAAUGGGGUGACUGCGUACCUUUUGUAUAAUGGGUCAGCGACUUAUAUUCUGUAGCAAGGUUAACCGAAUAGGGGAGCCGAAGGGAAACCGAGUCUUAACUGGGCGUUAAGUUGCAGGGUAUAGACCCGAAACCCGGUGAUCUAGCCAUGGGCAGGUUGAAGGUUGGGUAACACUAACUGGAGGACCGAACCGACUAAUGUUGAAAAAUUAGCGGAUGACUUGUGGCUGGGGGUGAAAGGCCAAUCAAACCGGGAGAUAGCUGGUUCUCCCCGAAAGCUAUUUAGGUAGCGCCUCGUGAAUUCAUCUCCGGGGGUAGAGCACUGUUUCGGCAAGGGGGUCAUCCCGACUUACCAACCCGAUGCAAACUGCGAAUACCGGAGAAUGUUAUCACGGGAGACACACGGCGGGUGCUAACGUCCGUCGUGAAGAGGGAAACAACCCAGACCGCCAGCUAAGGUCCCAAAGUCAUGGUUAAGUGGGAAACGAUGUGGGAAGGCCCAGACAGCCAGGAUGUUGGCUUAGAAGCAGCCAUCAUUUAAAGAAAGCGNNUAAUAGCUCACUGGUCGAGUCGGCCUGCGCGGAAGAUGUAACGGGGCUNAAACCAUGCACCGAAGCUGCGGCAGCGACACUAUGUGUNUGUUGGGUAGGGGAGCGUUCUGUAAGCCUGUGAAGGUGGCCUGUGAGGGUUGCUGGAGGUAUCAGAAGUGCGAAUGCUGACAUAAGUAACGAUAAAGCGGGUGAAAAGCCCGCUCGCCGGAAGACCAAGGGUUCCUGUCCAACGUUAAUCGGGGCAGGGUGAGUCGACCCUAAGGCGAGGCCGAAAGGCGUAGUCGAUGGGAAACAGGUUAAUAUUCCUGUACUUGGUGUUACUGCGAAGGGGGGACGGAGAAGGCUAUGUUGGCCGGGCGACGGUUGUCCCGGUUUAAGCGUGUAGGCUGGUUUUCCAGGCAAAUCCGGAAAACCAAGGCUGAGGCGUGAUGACGAGGCACUACGGUGCUGAAGCAACAAAUGCCCUGCUUCCAGGAAAAGCCUCUAAGNNCAUCAGGUAACAUCAAAUCGUACCCCAAACCGACACAGGNUGGUCAGGUAGAGAAUACCAAGGCGCUUGAGAGAACUCGGGUGAAGGAACUAGGCAAAAUGGUGCCGUAACUUCGGGAGAAGGCACGCUGAUAUGUAGGUGAAGCGACUUGCUCGUGGAGCUGAAAUCAGUCGAAGAUACCAGCUGGCUGCAACUGUUUAUUAAAAACACAGCACUGUGCAAACACGAAAGUGGACGUAUACGGUGUGACGCCUGCCCGGUGCCGGAAGGUUAAUUNGAUGGGGUUAGCGGUAACGCGAAGCUCUUGAUCGAAGCCCCGGUAAACGGCGGCCGUAACUAUAACGGUCCUAAGGUAGCGAAAUUCCUUGUCGGGUAAGUUCCGACCUGCACGAAUGGCGUAAUGAUGGCCAGGCUGUCUCCACCCGAGACUCAGUGAAAUUGAACUCGCUGUGAAGAUGCAGUGUACCCGCGGCAAGACGGAAAGACCCCGUGAACCUUUACUAUAGCUUGACACUGAACAUUGAGCCUUGAUGUGUAGGAUAGGUGGGAGGCUUUGAAGUGUGGACGCCAGUCUGCAUGGAGCCGACCUUGAAAUACCACCCUUUAAUGUUUGAUGUUCUAACGUUGGCCCGUAAUCCGGGUUGCGGACAGUGUCUGGUGGGUAGUUUGACUGGGGCGGUCUCCUCCUAAAGAGUAACGGAGGAGCACGAAGGUUGGCUAAUCCUGGUCGGACAUCAGGAGGUUAGUGCAAUGGCAUAAGCCAGCUUGACUGCGAGCGUGACGGCGCGAGCAGGUGCGAAAGCAGGUCAUAGUGAUCCGGUGGUUCUGAAUGGAAGGGCCAUCGCUCAACGGAUAAAAGGUACUCCGGGGAUAACAGGCUGAUACCGCCCAAGAGUUCAUAUCGACGGCGGUGUUUGGCACCUCGAUGUCGGCUCAUCACAUCCUGGGGCUGAAGUAGGUCCCAAGGGUAUGGCUGUUCGCCAUUUAAAGUGGUACGCGAGCUGGGUUUAGAACGUCGUGAGACAGUUCGGUCCCUAUCUGCCGUGGGCGCUGGAGAACUGAGGGGGGCUGCUCCUAGUACGAGAGGACCGGAGUGGACGCAUCACUGGUGUUCGGGUUGUCAUGCCAAUGGCACUGCCCGGUAGCUAAAUGCGGAAGAGAUAAGUGCUGAAAGCAUCUAAGCACGAAACUUGCCCCGAGAUGAGUUCUCCCUGAGACUUAGAGUCUCCUGAAGGAACGUUGAAGACGACGACGUUGAUAGGCCGGGUGUGUAAGCGCAGCGAUGCGUUGAGCUAACCGGUACUAAUGAACCGUGAGGCUUAACCU